rnacentral:rRNA from 1 species
UUGGGGAAUAUUGGACAAUGGGCGCAAGCCUGAUCCAGCCAUGCCGCGUGAGUGAUGAAGGCCCUAGGGUUGUAAAGCUCUUUCAACGGGGAAGAUAAUGACGGUACCCGUAGAAGACGCCCCGGCUAACUUCGUGCCAGCAGCCGCGGUAAUACGAAGGGGGCUAGCGUUGUUCGGAUUUACUGGGCGUAAAGCGCACGUAGGCGGAUCGAUCAGUCAGGGGUGAAAUCCCAGGGCUUAACCCUGGAACUGCCUUUGAUACUGUCGAUCUCGAGUCCGGAAGAGGUGAGUGGAAUUCCGAGUGUAGAGGUGAAAUUCGUAGAUAUUCGGAGGAACACCAGUGGCGAAGGCGGCUCACUGGUCCGGUACUGACGCUGAGGUGCGAAAGCGUGGGGAGCAAACA